rnacentral:rRNA from 1 species
GCGCGAAAACUUUGCAAUGCGGGAAACCGUGACAGGGGAACUCCGAGUGCCCGUUAAAUCGGGCUGUCCACCAGUUUAAAUAACUGGUGAAGAAAGGGCCGGGCAAGACCGGUGCCAGCCGCCGCGGUAAUACCGGCGGCUCGAGUGGUGGCCACUAUUACUGGGCUUAAAGCGUUCGUAGCUGGUUUGUUAAGUCUCUGGGGAAAUCUUCCGGCUUAACCGGAAGGCGUCUCAGGGAUACUGGCAGACUAGGGACCGGGAGAGGUGAGGGGUACUCCAGGGGUAGGAGUGAAAUCCUGUAAUCCUUGGGGGACCACCUGUGGCGAAGGCGCCUCACCAGAACGGCUCCGACAGUGAGGGACGAAAGCUGGGGGAGCAAACCGGAUUAGAUACCCGGGUAGUCCCAGCUGUAAACGAUGCGCGUUAGGUGUAUCGGUGACCACGAGUCACCGAGGUGCCGAAGAGAAAUCGUGAAACGUGCCGCCUGGGAAGUACGGUCGCAAGGCUGAAACUUAAAGGAAUUGGCGGGGGAGCAC